GUCUACGGCCACACCACCCUGAACACGCCCGAUCCCAUCCGAUCUCGGAAGCUAAGCAGGGUCGGGCCUGGUUAGUACUUGGAAGGGAGAAUAGAAUGAUGGUUACAGAGGCU
rnacentral:rRNA from 1 species